rnacentral:tRNA from 1 species
GGUUGCACAGUGUAGCGGGGAGCACGUCUGCUUUACAUGCUGAAGGUCCUGGGUUUGCGCCCCAAUGCAGCCA